AGCGAGGAGAGCUGGGCCAGGGGCAUGGAGCAGCCCAGGCUGGCCUGUGGUAGCUCUCCUGCAAUAGCUGGAGCAGCUGCCUGAGGGAAACUCCGGGAAUUAUGGCUCCCAGGGGUGAGGGCACUGCCAGGACAGCGGGACCAGCUCAGCACCAUGGGCUCGUCCCUGCACAGGGAUGGGACAGGCAGUGCUGGUGGGAGUUGUGCCAUUAAAGAGCCAUCCCCCAGCAAAGAGAAGCAAUGCAGCAUCUGCGUUUCGAGCUGCAGCCUUCUUCCAGGGCUGGGUCUUUGUCACUUUGUUUGGUGCCAAAAGCUUUGAAAUCUGUUCAAGGCAUAAAACAAGGAGCGAGCAGAAGCAGAACUGCCUGGUAA